CAUUUUUGGUUGUAACAAAAUGUGGGAAAUUUCAAGGGGUAUGAAUACUUUUUCAAGGCACUGUAUGUAAGGUAUACUAGCCACGGACUAUCACCGGGGCUUUUGUUGCCUAACAGUGAGUGAGUUGCUUGUGUACUCUUCCAAAAUCAGAAGAUCUGAGGGAAUCCAUAGGGGGGCAUAGUAAGGUGGGCGCCACGUGUUGGGUGUACAGGGGUAGUUGGCAUCAUUAGGUUUGUUUUGGAAUAAUUUUGGCCAGAUUAUGAUGUCAUUGGAGAGGGAGGAGACUCUGGUUGCUGAUGGGUUAUGAUUGGCUGUAUGUACAUUGUGUUGAGUUGUCACCCAAAGGAAGGUAGCUCUGUGAGGCCCCCAAAAUAUUGGCGGUGUUCUGAAUAACGCCUCCAAAUUCAUUUUUUGGGGGGGGUGUGCUGGUGACGUCCCCCUUUGUUUCCCCUCCAUACACGAGGGGCAUUCCAGGGACUGACUUUUCAAUAGGCUUUUGUAGCACCAAAAAUAUUUCGGAACGCCUUCCGAAAACUUGGACUUCCUGUGUGUCCUCCUCUGUAUAGAGAGACAGAAAUGUGUGUCGCGUUCUCUAACACUCCAAUUGGAAGGAUGUCUCUCUCUCUGUCAUCCUAUGAGAUAGAAAUGAGGGCGUGUCCUUGUCUGAUGGGGCCCCUGCAGUCAACCACUUGGCAAGGAUUUUAUCAUGUGUAUGACACUACAGGUCUUGGGUUAGGCUUCACUUACAUGUUCAGACUCCUCUGUAAAUCUGUUUGUCUUGUUUUUAUAGCUAUGGAUAAUUUAAUUUUUUCAAUUUAAGCUUUUAAGUUAUUUUUUGUUGCACAGUGACUGGGCAAUACUUCAUAUCACAAGUGACUUAGAUGGUGUUUUCAUACAGCUAUGGAAAUCGUCGUUUGUUUGGUGUUGUUAUGGAAAGGUGCUGCAAGGGUGCAGCUCUCAGGCCUGGUCAGUCCUUCCUGUUUUGAUGUUGUAGUGAUUGGAAGGUACUACAAUGGGGACAGAUCUCAGGCUCGAUCCGUCAUUUCUGUUUGGUGUUGGUUGUAGUGAUUAGAAGGUACUCCAAUGGGGGCAGAUCUCAGGCCUGGUCAGUCCUUCCUGUUUUGAUGUUGUAGUGAUUGGAAGGUACUACAAUGGGGACAGAUCUCAGGCUCGGUCCGUCAUUUCUGUUUGGUGUUGGUUGUAGUGAUUAGAAGGUACUCCAAUGGGGGCAGAUCUCAGGCCUGGUCAGUCCUUCCUGUUUUGGUGUUGUAGUGAUUAGAAGGUACUCCAAUGGGGACAGAUCUCAGGCUCGAUCCGUCAUUUCUGUUUGGUGUUGGUUGUAGUGAUUAGAAGGUACUCCAAUGGGGGCAGAUCUCAGGCCUGGUCAGUCCUUCCUGUUUUGGUGUUGUAGUGAUUGGAAGGUACUACAACAGGGACAGAUCUCAGGCCUGGUCCAUUAUUUCUGUUUUGUGGUAGGCUGUAGUGAUUGGAUGGUACUACAAUGGGGCAGAUCUCAGGCCUGGUCAGUCCUUCCUGUUUUGUGGUAGGCUGUAGUGAUUGGAUGGUACUGCAAUGGGGCAGAUUUCAGGCCUGGUCAGUCAUUUCUGUUUUGUGUGAAUUGUAGUGAUUAGAAGGUACACCAAUAGGGGCAGAUCUCAGGCCUAGUCAGUGUUUCCUGUUUUGGUGUUGUAGUGAUUAGAAGGUACUACAAUGGGGCA